rnacentral:rRNA from 1 species
GACGAACGCUGGCGGCGUGCUUAACACAUGCAAGUCGAACGAAGUGGCGAACGGGUGAGUAAUACGUGGGUAACCUGCCCUCCUUUUUGGGAUAAGCCUUGGAAACGGGGUCUAAUACCGGAUAGAGGGGGAUGGGCUCGCGGCCUAUCCGCUUGUUGGUGGGGUGAUGGCCUACCAAGGCGGUGACGGGUAGCUGGCCUGAGAGGGUGAACGGCAACAGAGGGACGGAGCUACGGCCCAGAGGCGUACGGGGUGGAGAAGUGGGGGAUAUUGCACAAUGGGUGAAAGCGUGAUGCAGCGACGCCGCGUGGGGGCUGAAGGUUUUCGGGUUGUAAACCUAGGGCGCUAUAGAACGGGUAGGUGGAGAAGAAGCGCCGGCUAACUACGUGCCAGCAGCCGCGGUAAUAC